rnacentral:lncRNA from 1 species
AUACCAAGGAGCAUGAUUGCUGGAGCGUAUGGAAGAUUUGCUCUGAGCUAACAUCUGUUGCCGGUUUUCCUCUUCUUUUGUGUGUGAGCCACCGCCACAGCAUGGCCACUGACAGAAAGUUCAAAGGAUGAAACAGUCGAAGCACGCUUGAUGAUUUUCUUCUGAAAACAUUGGCCAUCCAAAUAGGAUUAAAAUGGCCCAAAACACUUCCUUGUCUCAUUUACAGUCAUGAGAAGAAGGGGAACCACGGCAAGCGGCCCAUUUAAGCUCAUUAAAUGAAUAGUUUUCUUUUCUCAUCCUGUGUGACUGAUGAGAGACUUGUUAUUUCUGAUAUUGCUGUAUGUCGAAUGUGUUAACGGGGAAUUUGAAGUUACUGA